rnacentral:rRNA from 1 species
AACGAACGCUGGCGGCAGGCCUAACACAUGCAAGUCGAACGCCCUAGCAAUAGGGAGUGGCAGACGGGUGAGUAACACGUGGGAACGUGCCUUUCGGUUCGGAAUAACCCAGGGAAACUUGGACUAAUACCGGAUACGUGCGAGAGCAGAAAGAUUUAUCGCCGAAAGAUCGGCCCGCGUCCGAUUAGCUAGUUGGUGAGGUAAUGGCUCACCAAGGCGACGAUCGGUAGCUGGUCUGAGAGGAUGAUCAGCCACACUGGGACUGAGACACGGCCCAGACUCCUACGGGAGGCAGCAGUGGGGAAUAUUGGACAAUGGGCGCAAGCCUGAUCCAGCCAUGCCGCGUGAGUGAUGAAGGCCCUAGGGUUGUAAAGCUCUUUCGCCAGGGACGAUAAUGACGGUACCUGGAUAAGAAGCCCCGCUAACUUCGUGCCAGCAGCCGCCGU